rnacentral:rRNA from 1 species
UACGUAGGGUGCGAGCGUUAAUCGGAAUUACUGGGCGUAAAGCGUGCGCAGGCGGUUUUGUAAGACAGAGGUGAAAUCCCCGGGCUCAACCUGGGAACUGCCUUUGUGACUGCAAGGCUUGAGUGCGGCAGAGGGGGAUGGAAUUCCGCGUGUAGCAGUGAAAUGCGCAGAUAUCAGGAGGAACACCGAUGGCGAAGGCGGCAUCCUGGACCGACAUUGACGCUGAGGAGCGAAAGCUAGGGGAGCAAACGGG